rnacentral:rRNA from 1 species
GAUGAACGCUGGCGGUCUGCUUAACACAUGCAAGUCGAACGGAACCCUUCGGGGUUUAGUGGCGGACGGGUGAGUAACGCGUGAGAAUCUGCCUUCAGGUUCGGGACAACAGUUGGAAACGGCUGCUAAUACCGGAUGUGCCGAGAGGUGAAAGCUUAAGUGCCUGGAGAUGAGCUCGCGUCUGAUUAGCUAGUAGGAGUGGUAACGGCACCCCUAGGCGACGAUCAGUAGCUGGUCUGAGAGGAUGAUCAGCCACACUGGGACUGAGACACGGCCCAGACUCCUACGGGAGGCAGCAGUGGGGAAUUUUCCGCAAUGGGCGCAAGCCUGACGGAGCAAGACCGCGUGAGGGAAGAAGGUCUGUGGAUUGUAAACCUCUUUUGAUCGGGAAGAAGACAGUGACGGUACCGAUCGAAUCAGCCUCGGCUAACUCCGUGCCAGCAGCCGCGGUAAUACGGAGGAGGCAAGCGUUAUCCGGAAUUAUUGGGCGUAAAGAGUCCGUAGGUGGGUAACCAAGUCAGCUGUUAAAUAGUGAAGCUUAACUUCAUAGAGGCGGCUGAAACUGGUUGUCUAGAGUGUGGUAGGGGUAGAGGGAAUUUCCAGUGUAGCGGUGAAAUGCGUAGAUAUUGGAAAGAACACCGGUGGCGAAAGCGCUCUACUGGGCCUGCACUGACACUGAGGGACGAAAGCUAGGGGAGCGAAAGGGAUUAGAUACCCCUGUAGUCCUAGCCGUAAACGAUGGAUACUAGGCGUUGCCCG